rnacentral:rRNA from 1 species
UACGUAGGGCGCAAGCGUUGUCCGGAAUUAUUGGGCGUAAAGAGCUCGUAGGCGGUUUGUCGCGUCUGCUGUGAAAACCUAAGGCUCAACCUUGGGCUUGCAGUGGGUACGGGCAGACUAGAGUGCGGUAGGGGAGACUGGAAUUCCUGGUGUAGCGGUGGAAUGCGCAGAUAUCAGGAGGAACACCGGUGGCGAAGGCGGGUCUCUGGGCAGUAACUGACGCUGAGGAGCGAAAGCGUGGGGAGCGAACAGG